AUUGAACGCUGGCGGCAGGCUUAACACAUGCAAGUCGAGCGGAGAUGAGGUGCUUGCACCUUAUCUUAGCGGCGGACGGGUGAGUAAUGCUUAGGAAUCUGCCUAUUAGUGGGGGACAACAUUCCGAAAGGAAUGCUAAUACCGCAUACGUCCUACGGGAGAAAGCAGGGGAUCUUCGGACCCUGCGCUAAUAGAUGAGCCUAAGUCGGAUUAGCUAGUUGGUGGGGUAAAGGCCUACCAAGGCGACGAUCUGUAGCGGGUCUGAGAGGAUGAUCCGCCACACUGGGACUGGGACACGGCCCAGACUCCUACGGGAGGCAGCAGUGGGGAAUAUUGGACAAUGGGGGAAACCCUGAUCCAGCCAUGCCGCGUGUGUGAAGAAGGCCUUAUGGUUGUAGAGCACUUUAAGCGAGGAGGAGGCUACUGAGACUAAUACUCUUGGAUAGUGGACGUUACUCGCAGAAUAAGCACCGGCUAACUCUGUGCCAGCAGCCGCCGUAA
rnacentral:rRNA from 1 species